UGGGGAAUUUUGGACAAUGGGCGCAAGCCUGAUCCAGCCAUGCCGCGUGAGUGAAGAAGGCCUUCGGGUUGUAAAGCUCUUUUAGUCGGAAAGAAAGAGUUGCAAUGAAUAAUUGUGAUUUAUGACGGUACCGACAGAAAAAGCACCGGCUAACUACGUGCCAGCAGCCGCGGUAAUACGUAGGGUGCGAGCGUUAAUCGGAAUUACUGGGCGUAAAGGGUGCGCAGGCGGUCUUGCAAGUCAGAUGUGAAAGCCCCGGGCUUAACCUGGGAAUUGCGUUUGAAACUACAAGACUAGAGUGCAGCAGAGGGGAGUGGAAUUCCAUGUGUAGCAGUGAAAUGCGUAGAGAUGUGGAAGAACACCGAUGGCGAAGGCAGCUCCCUGGGUUGACACUGACGCUCAUGCACGAAAGCGUGGGGAGCAAACA
rnacentral:rRNA from 1 species